UACGGGGGGGGCAAGCGUUGUUCGGAAUUACUGGGCGUAAAGCGUGCGCAGGCGGUGAUGCAAGACAGAUGUGAAAUCCCCGGGCUUAACCUGGGAACUGCAUUUGUGACUGCAUUGCUGGAGUGCGGCAGAGGGGGAUGGAAUUCCGCGUGUAGCAGUGAAAUGCGUAGAUAUGCGGAGGAACACCGAUGGCGAAGGCAAUCCCCUGGGCCUGCACUGACGCUCAUGCACGAAAGCGUGGGGAGCAAACAGG
rnacentral:rRNA from 1 species